AGAGAGAGACAUGCGCGCAUAUCAAUAAGCGGAGGAAAAGAAACUAACUAGGAUUCCCUUAGUAACGGCGAGUGAAGCGGGAAGAGCUCAAAUUUGAAAUCUUCAAGGUUCUACCUUGACGAAUUGUAGUUUAAAGAAGUGUUUUCUGUUGAAGUUUUGGUAAAAGUUCUUUGGAAUAGGACAUCAUAGAGGGUGAGAAUCCCGUAUUUGACCAUUAUUUUCAGCUGUGUGAUACACUUUCAAAGAGUCGGAUUGUUUGGGAAUGCAGUCCAAAAUGGGUGGUAAAUUUCAUCUAAAGCUAAAUACUGGCGAGAGACCGAUAGCGAACAAGUACCGUGAGGGAAAGAUGAAAAGAACUUUGAAAAGAGAGUUAAACAGUACGUGAAAUUGUCAAAAGGGAAGCGUUUGACACCAGUGUUGUUUUCUCGAAAAUCAAUUAAAAAGAGCUAGGAUUUUGUGUUGUAUUGACCUUUAAUCAGCUUUCUGCACUUCAAUUUUCUUGUCUUUUUUAAUGCACUUUUCGUUUAACAAGUCAACAUCAAUUUCUUUUGUUGUAAAAGGGUCAUUGGAAGGUGGCUUUCUUUUCGGAGAAAGUGUUUAUAGCCUUUGGCCUCUGCAAUCGGAGAGAUUGAGGUCUGCAGCGUAGAUCCUUCGGGGUUAGAUACAUUUGUGCUAAGUUAUAGCCUUUCAUAGACAACUUGUUGACUAUGAUCAGUCAUGUAGCUUACUCGCUUAUGCUAUUUUACCUACGCUUAGGAUGUUGAUGUGAUACUGCGAGCA
rnacentral:rRNA from 1 species